rnacentral:rRNA from 1 species
GUGGGGAAUAUUGGGCAAUGGGGGAAACCCUGACCCAGCGACGCCGCGUGAGGGAAGAAGGCCUUAGGGUCGUAAACCUCUGUUGUGUGGGAAGAAGAGCGUGACGGUACCACACGAGGAAGUCCCGGCUAACUACGUGCCAGCAGCCGCGGUAAUACGUAGGGGACGAGCGUUGUCCGGAUUUACUGGGCGUAAAGGGCGCGUAGGCGGUCAUUUAAGUCAGCUGUGAAAUGGUUUGGCUUAACCGGAUCAUGCGGUUGAAACUGGAUGACUGGAGUGCUGGAGAGGCAAGUGGAAUUCCCAGUGUAGCGAUGAAAUGCGUAGAUAUUGGGAAGAACACCGGUGGCGAAGGCGACUUGCUGGCCAGCAACUGACGCUGAGGCGCGAAAGCCAGGGGAGCAAACGGGAUUAGAAACCCUAGUAGCC